GUGGAACCCAGUAAGCUCUUCUGCUGCUGUUGCUUAUCCACUUCAAAGUUUGAUGUGUUGUGCAUUCAGAGAUGCUCCUGCAUCCGACUGUUGUAACACGUACUUAUUUGAGCUACUAUCGCUAUCCUGUAAGUUUGAUUUUGUCUGGCCUUUCUCCUCUGACCUCUUAUUAACAAGGCAUUUUUGACCAUGUAGCUGUCGCUCACUGUUGUUGUGUUGUUUUGUUUCUUGCACUAUUCUCUGUUAACUCGAGAGAGUGUUCUGAAGUGAAAUCGCAGAAGAUCAGCAGUUUCUGAUAGACUCUUGCCACCCUGUUUGGCAUCACCAAUCAUUUGAGAAUUAGAAUUAGAUUUAAUAUUACUGGCAUACGUUAUGAAAUUUAUUGUUAUAUGGCAACAGUACAUUACAAUACAUAAUAAAAAAAUCUGUAAAUUACACUAAAUAUAUAUUAACAUGUUAAGUAAACAGUGCAAAAAGUAGUGAGAUAGUGUUCAUGGGUUCAAUAUGCAUUCAGAAAUCUGAGAGUGGGGGGAAAAUCUACCCCUGAAUUGUUAAGUAUGUGCCUUCAAGCUCCUGUACCUCCUUUCUGAUGGCAGCAAUGAGAAGAGGACAUGUCCUGGGUGAUUGGGGUCCUUAGUGAUAUAGCCUUUUUGAGGCAUCGGUUCUUGAAGAUGUCCUGGGUGCUGGGGAGGCUAGUGCCCAUGAUAGAGCUGAGUGAGUUCACAACUUUCUGCAGCUUAUUUCAAUCCUGUGCUGUGCCCCACCUCCAUACCAGACGGUGAUGCAGCCAGUUAGAAUGCUGUCCAUGGUACAUCUGCAGAAACUUGCAAGUGUCUUUGGUGACAUAACGAAUCUCCUCAAACUCUAAUGAAAUAUAGCCUCUGUCAUGCCUUCUUUGCAAUUGCAUCGAUAUUUGGGCCCAGGAUAGAUCCUCAGGGAUAUUGAUACCCAGGAACUUGAAAUUGUUCACUCUUUCCACUACUGAUCUCUUGAUGAGGACUGGUAUGUGUGCCCUCAUCUUACCCUUCCUGAAGUCCACAAUCACUUCUUGGUUUUACUGACGUUGAGUGCUAGGUUGUUGCUGUGAUACCACUCAACUAGCUGAUCUAUCUCUCUCCUGUACAUCUCGCCACCAUUCGAAAUUCUGCCAGCAAUAGUUGUGUUGUCAGCAAAUUUACAGAAGGUAUUUGAGCUGUGCUGAGCCACACAGUCGUGGGUAUAGAGAGAGUAGAGCAGUGGACUAAGCAAACAGCCUUGAGGUAAGAGGUAGAGCUGUUAUUUCCAAUCUGAACCCAAUAUGGUCUUCCAGUGAGGAAGUUGAGGAACCAGUUGCAGAGAGAGGUACAGAGGUCCAGGUUUUGGGGCUUUUUGAUCAAAACUCUAGGAAUGUUUGUAUUAAACGCUGUGCUGUAAUUGAUGAAUAGCAACCUGAUGUAAGUAUUCAUAUUGUCCAGGUGAUCUAAGGCCAUGUGAAGAGCUCAUGAGAUCAUAUCCUCUGUAGACCUAUUGUGGUGAUAGGCAAUUUGCAGUGGGUCCAGGUUGUUGGUUCGGCAGGAGUUGAUUCUAGCCAUAGCCAACCUAUCAAAGCUUUUCAUCAUUGUAGACAUGAGUGCUACUGGACGAUAGUCGUUAAGGCAGCUCACCCUGCUCUUCUUGGGCAAAGGUAUGAUUGUUGCCCUUUUGAGGCAUGUGGGAACUUCUGACUGUAGCAGUGAGAGAUUGAAAAUAUAUUUGAAUACACCUGCCAGUUGGUUGGUACAGAUUUUCAGAGUCCUAUCAGGUACACCAUUGGGGUCUGUCGCCUUUUCACGCUCAAAGUCACUAGUCACUUUUCUUCCCCAUGCUGCUAUUUGAUCUGAAUAACCGAACCUCUUAUGCUGCCACAUGAUUGGUUGAUUAUAUAUUUGCAUUAAUGAGUUGGUGUACAGGUGUACCUAAUAAGGUGGUCACCAAGGGUACAAUAACAUGGAAUUGCUAUACUUCAUAAUUUAAUACCUUAGCUGUUCAGCAUGAUUUACUAACCAUGAUUUACUUUAUUUUUAGGAAAUUUGCUGUAAUAUGUAAAGCACUAUUUGAUUCUGUUUUAAAUCUUUGUUUUAUUCAUCAUGAACAGAGGGUUACUGUUUCUUGUAUAAGAGGCACACUGAAUAGUUAAGCACAAUGCCACCACAUAUUUCUGUUAUUUGUUUUGGUCCUCCUCUUAAUUACAGAUGUUGAGAGUUCAUGGUUAUCUGUGAACCUGUUGGUCAGGUGAUUGGUUGGUAAUAGGAGCUAAUGAACAAUAUUGGAUAUGUUUUGAAGCCAACUGUAUUACCCUCCUCAGCUCAAGUACAGUUAAUUCAAUACCUGCAGGAAGUUAAUUAAAUCAUAGUGGAAAAUGUCUAUUCUGCUAAUUGAGUUUUUAAAUAUUGAUACUGCAUGGUGCUUCAAAGUGUCACAAUAUUCAACUGUUCAAACUUGAAAAUCUGCUUUAAAUGUCUUCACGCGUAUUGUUCAUUGUUAUUGCUGCAUCCUUGGAUGAAGGUGCUUCUUCAGGAGAAUUCUUGUUUUCCCUGGAAAGCUACGUUUAUAAGGAUAUCAAACCUGCUUACUCUGAUGGGAAAAUCAAAGGACGCAAACAUAAAAAAUCCAAAAAGUAUUUUAAGAAAUCAGCAAAAGGACGUUCCAAAGGUA